AUAAGACUCUGGCUGUGAGCACCAUGUCUUAGGAGGACAGGGGAGGAGGGCAGAAACUGUUCCGUCAGCUGAAAGACUGAAAGUUCCACACUCAAGUUGACUUCCCAGUCCAAGGGCUGCGAACUCGUUCUGAACCAGAGAUUUUGGAAGAGAAGGCAGAGAGAGAGAGCUGAAAAGGACCGGAUCACAAGGGCUGUGAAUGCUGUGUUGAUGAAUUUGAAAUUGAUGCAAAAAGCAGUGAGGAGCUGCUCAAGGAUUCUGUGAGAGACGUUUGGAUGCCUGCUCACUGUGCCGGAGGAGUCCAGCUCUCUCCCUCUCCUACUCCUGGAGCACUGCCUGGUGUUGGCUCAGGUAUCUCACCUCCCUGAAUAGACUACAAGCUGCUUGAGGACAGGCUUCAGUCGGAACGUUCCUUCUGCAUCGGCGCACGGUCACGCACACAUCAGAUGCUCAAUUAGGGUUUGCUGAGUCACUGCACGGUGGCGUUCCCAAAGACUUUCCUCCAACUCCACCUCUCCCUCUCACGUGCCAUAGUAACCCGCCCUGCACAACCUCCGGCUCCCACCAACCAGGGGCAAGAGUGAAAACGGGACAGGUAUAAGAAAGGCGGAGCGCACUGAAACAUAAGAAGCCAGUUCUAGGAUCGUUAGUCUUUUAAUAUAUUAUUCUGAAAAGAAAGGAAUUAAAAAAAAGUUCCUGACA